rnacentral:rRNA from 1 species
AGUUUGAUCCUGGCUCAGAAUCAACGCUGGCGGCGUGCCUCAGACAUGCAAGUCGAACGAUUAAAGCUCUCUUCGGAGAGUGUAUAGAGUGGCGCACGGGUGAGUAACACGUAAGUAAUCUACCCUCGAGUGGGGAAUAACAACCGGAAACGGUUGCUAAUACCGCAUAAUGCAGCGGCACCGCAAGGUGACAGUUGUUAAAGAUUUAUCGCUUGAGGAGGAGCUUGCGGCAGAUUAGCCAGUUGGUAGGGUAACGGCUUACCAAGGCUACGAUCUGUAACCGGUCUAAGAGGACGGUCGGUCACACUGACACUGAAUAACGGGUCAGACUCCUACGGGAGGCAGCAGUCGGGAAUUUUGGGCAAUGGGCGAAAGCCUGACCCAGCAACGCCGCGUGAAGGAUGAAGUAUUUCGGUAUGUAAACUUCGAAAGAAUAGGAAGAAUUAAUGACGGUACUAUUUAUAAGGUCCGGCUAACUACGUG